GGCUGGCACGCGCAGACGUGCGAACCGCUCCGCGUGGCGACGUUUGGGACGAGAGCGAGCGCAAUCACCACCUGGACCUGGACGUGAAAGAGGAAAGAACGGGACUCGGAGCGGUUCUGAUGAUGACACGCGAGAAUGGCUUGACACUGAUUGGGAAAGACAACAUCAUUAAAAUAAAGCCUGGCAUGCAGUGAACACUGACGAAGCCGAACUCAUCACAACUCAGACGCGAGCAUCUGUUAAAGCGUGUGCCCUGAGACAAGCCUUUGGAGCAGCGCAGAUUGAUGAGUGUGUCUGUGAAACGCAGACACUAAGCUGGUGAUCUUUGAAUCGGCUCGAACCACCAGGCACAUGAUGAAAAUACAUUGGCUUUCUGAUCCGGGGGAGAUAACGGCGGCGCGGCGGGGUUUCAGUUCCCGCCUCCGGCCCGUUGGCGGCGCUGUGGCUUUGUUGUGCGCUGGUGUUUGUAGGUUUGUUAGUCACUGUUGUGAUUUGUUAGUUCCUGCUGUUUUCUGGUAUUUUCCAAAUUGUCGGUUUGUUUCUUCUCCGACUUCGCAGCGACUUUGUUUUCGUCCGGACUUUUGAUUAAUUGUAAUUGAACUGUUCGUCCCUGCGUUUGUGCAGCGCUUCAUGUUUUCUACUUUUCCUAAAUUUACUUUUUGUAUUUUACAGCCUCGCUGUGAAUUUUUGUUCUGUACUUUUGUUCGGGAAGAUGAAAACAUCCAGCAUAAGUCGCGCGAUUAGUGUGCAGGCACAAGACGCUGGACUUCUACACAUGCCAGGCUGUAAUGCAAUUUAAUGCAAUGCUUUCAAAUAUGUUUGCAAGCAACACAGAUGAAAACAUAAAGUUGAACUGUAUGAAUGUAUGAAUGUAGGUUGUAAACAUAAAAUCCUGAUACCAAACCAAAUCCUGAUAUUAAACUGUCUCUGUUUUUUUAUUCAUUAGUUCAUACCCUGUUGACAAAAUAAAAGCUUUUUAAUAUGAAAAAUAUCUCUGCGGUAUGAGAUCUGGAUUCAUUACCUCGUCCUUUCUCAUCGCCGAACACGGAGGACGUGUGUAACGUUGCUGUACAGUAAAAGCAUU